AGAGUUUGAUCCUGGCUCAGGACGAACGCUGGCGGCGCGCCUAACACAUGCAAGUCGAACGAGAGAUGAGGAGCUUGCUCUUCAAAUCGAGUGGCGAACGGGUGAGUAACGCGUGAGGAACCUGCCUCAAAGAGGGGGACAACAGUUGGAAACGACUGCUAAUACCGCAUAAGCCCACGGCUCGGCAUCGAGCAGAGGGAAAAGGAGUGAUCCGCUUUGAGAUGGCCUCGCGUCCGAUUAGCUAGUUGGUGAGGUAACGGCCCACCAAGGCGACGAUCGGUAGCCGGACUGAGAGGUUGAACGGCCACAUUGGGACUGAGACACGGCCCAGACUCCUACGGGAGGCAGCAGUGGGGAAUAUUGCACAAUGGGGGAAACCCUGAUGCAGCGACGCCGCGUGGAGGAAGAAGGUCUUCGGAUUGUAAACUCCUGUUGUUGAGGAAGAUAAUGACGGUACUCAACAAGGAAGUGACGGCUAACUACGUGCCAGCAGCCGCGGUAAAACGUAGGUCACAAGCGUUGUCCGGAAUUACUGGGUGUAAAGGGAGCGCAGGCGGGAGAACAAGUUGGAAGUGAAAUCCAUGGGCUCAACCCAUGAACUGCUUUCAAAACUGUUUUUCUUGAGUAGUGCAGAGGUAGGCGGAAUUCCCGGUGUAGCGGUGGAAUGCGUAGAUAUCGGGAGGAACACCAGUGGCGAAGGCGGCCUACUGGGCACCAACUGACGCUGAGGCUCGAAAGUGUGGGUAGCAAACAGGAUUAGAUACCCUGGUAGUCCACACCGUAAACGAUGAUUACUAGGUGUUGGAGGAUUGACCCCUUCAGUGCCGCAGUUAACACAAUAAGUAAUCCACCUGGGGAGUACGACCGCAAGGUUGAAACUCAAAGGAAUUGACGGGGGCCCGCACAA
rnacentral:rRNA from 1 species